rnacentral:rRNA from 1 species
GUCUACAGUCAUUCCACCCUAAAUGUGCCCAAUCUCGUCUGGUCUCAGAAGCUAAGCAGGAUCAGGCCUGGUUAGUACUUGGAUGGGAGACAAAUCUUCAAAAAAGACUGCUCGGAGACA